CAUAAUGUCACUUCUUUCCUUGGCUGGCUUUUCAUUUUAGCAGUAAGAACCCUGACACAGGCCAUUUAUAUUCUGCCAACAAUAACAAGUAGGUGGAAAGAGAAAUGAAAAUCUU
rnacentral:lncRNA from 11 species